AUUGAACGCUGGCGUAAUGCUUUACACAUGCAAGUCGAACGGCAGCACGGACUUCGGUCUGUUGGCGAGUGGCGAACGGAUGAGUAAUGUAUCGGAACGUGCCCAGUCGUGGGGGAUCACGUAGUGAAAAUUACGCUAAUACAGCAUACGUUAUAUGGAUGAAAGAGGGGGAGCGCAAGACCUCGUGCGAUUGGACCGGCCGAUAUCAGAUUAGGUAGUUGGUGGGGUAAAGGCCCACCAAGCCAACGAUCUGUAGCUGGUCUGAGAGGACGACCAGCCACACACGAAAUGAGACACGGUCCAGGCUCCUACGGGAGGCAGCAGUGGGGAAUUGUGGACAAUGGGCGAAAGCCUUAUCCAGCCAUUCCGCUUGCAGGAUGAGUGCCCUCGGGUUGUAAACUGCUUUUGUACAGAACGAAAAGGUUUCUACUAAUACUAGGAGCUCAUGACGGUACUGUAAGAAUAAGCACCGGCUAACUACGUGCCAGCCGCCGCAGUAA
rnacentral:rRNA from 1 species